rnacentral:rRNA from 1 species
GAAAGCAUUUGCCAAGGACGUUUUCAUUAAUCAAGAACGAAAGUUAGGGGAUCGAAGAUGAUCAGAUACCGUCGUAGUCUUAACCAUAAACUAUGCCGACUAGGGAUCGGGUGUUGUCCUUUUUUUGGCGCACUCGGCACCUUACGAGAAAUCAAAGUUUUUGGGUUCUGGGGGGAGUAUGGUCGCAAGGCUGAAACUUAAAGGAAUUGACGGAAGGGCACCACCAGGAGUGGAGCCUGCGGCUUAAUUUGACUCAACACGGGGAAACUCACCAGGUCCAGACACAAUAAGGAUUGACAGAUUGAGAGCUCUUUCUUGAUUUUGUGGGUGGUGGUGCAUGGCCGUUCUUAGUUGGUGGAGUGAUUUGUCUGCUUAAUUGCGAUAACGAACGAGACCUUAACCUACUAAAUAGUGCUGCUAGCAUUUGCUGGUACGACACUUCUUAGAGGGACUACCGAUUUCAAGUCGGUGGAAGUUUGAGGCAAUAACAGGUCUGUGAUGCCCUUAGACGUUCUGGGCCGCACGCGCGCUACACUGACGGAGCCAGCGAGUAUUAACCUUGGCCGAGAGGUCCGGGAAAUCUUGUGAAACUCCGUCGUGCUGGGGAUAGAGCAUUGUUAAUUAUUGCUCUUCAACGAGGAAUUCCUAG